UACAGAGGUCUCAAGCGUUGUUCGGAUUCAUUGGGCGUAAAGGGUGCGUAGGCGGCGAGCUAAGUCGGGUGUGAAAUUUCGGAGCUUAACUCCGAAACUGCAUUCGAUACUGGCUUGCUUGAGGACUGGAGAGGAGACUGGAAUUCAUGGUGUAGCAGUGAAAUGCGUAGAGAUCAUGAGGAAGACCAGUGGCGAAGGCGGGUCUCUGGACAGUUCCUGACGCUGAGACACGAAGGCCAGGGGAGCAAACGGG
rnacentral:rRNA from 1 species